GCGCUGCGGAAGGAUCAU
rnacentral:rRNA from 1 species